rnacentral:lncRNA from 1 species
CCCGUCAAUGUGCUGGAUGCAGUUGUAAGAACAAGUGAGGUGGAAUGAAUUGCAGGUGUGAAUAAGAUAAACUGUACAUAUUGGAGCAUGGUAUGUGUAUUUGUAAGACAUAUCCUAUUCGCACUACACCAAAAAUGAUCAUUUGCAACAUAUAAAAGGUAACAUUCGGUAAUUAAGUGUUGUUAAAGAGGUCUAUCGCAACUUUUUAAUAAGUGAAUGUUGCUAUUAGUUAACAAAAUUAAGUUUUGGCAACAUUUUUUAAAUGAAUGUUGCUAAUGUCACAUUUUGCAAAGUAUCCUUUUGCAACGUUUUCUAAACGUUGAGAAAAAUAAACCCAAAUAAAAUUAUAUAUGGACCCAAAAUAAUCCAAACCCUAGACUAAUAAUUCACGCCUCUCUCUUCUCUUCUUCUCCUCUUCUUCGCUAGUAAAUCCCUAACUUCUUAACUAAUAGUCACUUAGCUUAACCCAAUAAAAGAUGAGCUUCUCUUGUGCUUUUGAUGAUAAAUUUUUUCUAAAAAACCCCCCAAUUAAAGGUUAGGGUUUUAGAUCUGUCUCUUAUAGCGCACACACCUGAGAGAGGUAGAAGCGGCUUUGAUUUCAAGGGCGAAGAUGUUUCCCGGAAUGUUCAUGAGGAAGCCAGAUAAGACGGAGGCGUUGAAGCAGCCCAAGACCCACGCUCCAAUGUUCGAAGUUUGGGUUGCCGUCAUUUGGGUCACACCUUACGUUCUCCAUUAUUUCUCCGAUAGUAAAGAAGAACUCAAGCUCGAACUCUAAUUUCCUUCACAGGUAAAAAAUUUAUAUGCUAACUAAACGGUGUUAUGGUUCAGUGGAACAUUUGCUU